GGUCAUAGCUCUGUGGUAGAACAUCUGCCUUGCAUGCAGAAGGUCCCAUGUUCAAUCGCCGGCAUCAUCA